rnacentral:rRNA from 1 species
UACAGAGGUCCCAAGCGUUGUUCGGAUUCACUGGGCGUAAAGGGUGCGUAGGUGGUGAGGUAAGUCGGAUGUGAAAUCUCCGAGCUCAACUCGGAAAUGGCAUUGGAAACUACCUUGCUAGAGGGUUGGAGGGGGGACUGGAAUACUUGGUGUAGCAGUGAAAUGCGUAGAUAUCAAGUGGAACACCAGUGGCGAAGGCGAGUCCCUGGACAACUUCUGACGCUGAGGCACGAAAGCUAGGGGAGCAAACAGG